CGUCAAAUCAUCAUGCCCCUUACUGACCUGGGCUACACACGUGCUACAAUGGUUGGUACAACGAGUUGCGAGUCGGUGACGGCGAGCUAAUCUCUUAAAGCCAAUCUCAGUUCGGAUUGUAGGCUGCAACUCGCCUACAUGAAGUCGGAAUCGCUAGUAAUCGCGGAUCAGCACGCCGCGGUGAAUACGUUCCCGGGCCUU
rnacentral:rRNA from 1 species